GUCCCGUUAGCUCAGUUGGAUAUGAGCGGCUCUCUCCUAAAGAGCAGGUCAGAGGUUCGAAUCCUCUACGGGACGCCA
rnacentral:tRNA from 1 species